GGUCAAGCUACAAAGGGCGCAUGGUGAAUGCCUUGGCAUCAGGAGCCGAUGAAGGACGUGAUAAGCUGCGAUAAGCUUCGGGUAGGCGCACAUAGCCUGAGAUCCGAAGAUUUCCGAAUGAGGAAACUCACAUGGGAAACCCCAUGUAUCAUUAAGUGAAUACAUAGCUUAAUGAAGGUAACCCAGGGAACUGAAACAUCUAAGUACCUGGAGGAAGAGAAAGAAAAAUCGAUUUUCUUAGUAGCGGCGAGCGAAAGGGAAAGAGCCCAAACCGGAAACUUGUUUCCGGGGUUGUGGACAUA
rnacentral:rRNA from 1 species